rnacentral:rRNA from 1 species
AUACGUAGGUGGCAAGCGUUGUCCGGAAUUAUUGGGCGUAAAGCGCAUGUAGGCGGUUUGGUAAGUCGGUCGUGAAAAUGCGGUGCUUAACGCCGUAUGGCGAUUGAAACUGCUGAACUUGAGUGCCGGAGAGGAAAGGGGAACUCCCAGUGUAGCGGUGAAAAGCGUAGAUAUUGGGAAGAACACCGGUGGCGAAGGCGCCUUUCUGGACUGUGUCUGACGCUCAGAUGCGAAAGCCAGGGUAGCGAACGGGAUUAGAUACCCCGGUAGUCCUGGCCGUAAACGAUGGGUACUAGGUGUGGGAGGUAUCGACUCCUUCCGUGCCGGAGUUAACGCAAUAAGUACCCCGCCUGGGGAGUACGGCCGCAAGGCUUAAACUCAAAUGAAUCGACGGGG